CUCUUCAAGUGGAUCAAUGAGUGUCCAUACACCAUUGAUCGUCAUGGACUCCAUUUUCGACUCUAUGACUCCAAGCCAUUAAUCAGAGUCAAACCUCUGCAUGGCAUCCAUAUAGGUGAUUAGAUCUUUAUCGUUCUUAUCGAGUUCAACAGGAUCACGUCCCAAAUCUAGAAACUGAAGUCUCUAUCCGAUGGAUGUAGUACUCUAUC
rnacentral:lncRNA from 1 species